rnacentral:rRNA from 1 species
UACAGAGGGUGCAAGCGUUGUUCGGAAUUACUGGGCGUAAAGCGCGCGCAGGCGGAUCUAGUAAGUCGGGAGUGAAAUCUCACUGCUCAACGGUGAGACUGCUUCUGAUACUGCGGAUCUGGAGACCGGUAGAGGCUGGUGGAAUUGCAGGUGUAGCGGUGGAAUGCGUAGAGAUCUGCAAGAACACCCGUGGCGAAGGCGGCCAGCUGGGCCGGUUCUGACGCUGAGGCGCGAAAGCGUGGGGAGCAAACAGG